rnacentral:rRNA from 1 species
AUUGAGCGCUGGCGGCAUGCCUUACACAUGCAAGUCGAACGGUAACAGGUCUUUCGGGAUGCUGACGAGUGGCGAACGGGUGAGUAAUACAUCGGAACGUGCCUAGUAGUGGGGGAUAACUACUCGAAAGAGUGGCUAAUACCGCAUGAGAUCUAUGGAUGAAAGCAGGGGACCUUCGGGCCUUGUGCUACUAGAGCGGCCGAUGGCAGAUUAGGUAGUUGGUGGGAUAAAAGCUUACCAAGCCUACGAUCUGUAGCUGGUCUGAGAGGACGAUCAGCCACACUGGGACUGAGACACGGCCCAGGCUCCUACGGGAGGCAGCAGUGGGGAAUUUUGGACAAUGGGCGCAAGCCUGAUCCAGCAAUGCCGCGUGCAGGAUGAAGGCCUUCGGGUUGUAAACUGCUUUUGUACGGAACGAAAAGUCUUGGGUUAAUACCCUGGGAUCAUGACGGUACCGUAAGAAUAAGCACCGGCUAACUACGUGCCAGCAGCCGCAGUAAUAC